CGGACGGGUGAGUAACGCGUGGGUAACCUGCCUCACACUGGGGGAUAACAGUUAGAAAUGACUGCUAAUACCGCAUAAGCGCACGGUAUCGCAUGGUACAGUGCGAAAAACUCCGGUGGUGUGAGAUGGAUCCGCGUCUGAUUAGGUAGUUGGUGAGGUAACGGCCCACCAAGCCGACGAUCGGUAGCCGACCUGAGAGGGUGACCGGCCACAUUGGGACUGAGACACGGCCCAA
rnacentral:rRNA from 1 species